CAACCCUCGAACCCCUCCGGGGGGUCGGCGUUGGGGAUCGGCCCUUUACGGGGCCGGCCCCGAAAUACAGUGGCGGUCUCGCCGCAGCCUCUCCUGCGCAGUAGUUUGCACACUCGCAUCGGGAGCGCGGCGCGUCCAUUGCCGUAAAACCCCCACUAUUUUUCAA
rnacentral:misc_RNA from 1 species